GGAGGAAUACCCAAGCGGCCAAAGGGGACUGACUGUAAAUCAGUUGGCUCAUGCCUUCGGUGGUUCGAAUCCACCUUCCUCCACCA
rnacentral:tRNA from 3 species